rnacentral:lncRNA from 1 species
AUACUAUCAUUUUCAUCAACUGCUAUAUAAUUUUAUUUUUUCUAUAGAAUCAACCCGCCGCAACGCGCGGGUACCUUCAUUAGUAUCUAUAAUAUCUAUAUUUAGUCAGAGCAAUAAUAAGGCAACAAAACCGACUGUUCCUAGACCAAGUGGUAAAGGAUUUAAUGGUUGGUAUCCGAGACCCAAAUUUGAAUCCUAGUUGAUUUACAUUUUCAGCAAGUUUAUUUCUAAAUGAAAUAAACGAAGCGGAUAGCGUGCUACCUAUCUCUGAAAAAAAAAUAAUAAUAAGGCAACAAAUUGGAAAGACUUAAUUUUGAGGGG